UAGGGAAUCUUCGGCAAUGGACGAAAGUCUGACCGAGCAACGCCGCGUGAGUGAAGAAGGUUUUCGGAUCGUAAAACUCUGUUGUUAGAGAAGAACAAGGACGUUAGUAACUGAACGUCCCCUGACGGUAUCUAACCAGAAAGCCACGGCUAACUACGUGCCAGCAGCCGCGGUAAUACGUAGGUGGCAAGCGUUGUCCGGCUUUAUUGGGCGUAAAGCGAGCGCAGGCGGUUUCUUAAGUCUGAUGUGAAAGCCCCCGGCUCAACCGGGGAGGGUCAUUGGAAACUGGGAGACGUGAGUGCAGAAGAGGAGAGUGGAAUUCCAUGUGUGGCGGUGAAAUGCGUAGAUAUAUGGUGGGACACCAGUGGCGAAGGCGGCUCUCUGGUCUGUAACUGACGCUGAGGCUCGAAAGCGUGGGGAGCAAACAGG
rnacentral:rRNA from 1 species